GUCUGAAGCAUUCCAACCGCUGGUCCAAUAUGACAGAGGCCCUUGUGGAAAGAGGUCACGGUCAAGCGGUUUCAGAUGGAAACUAAUCCGGCAAUGCCAUGCUUUCGGACCCUAUGUCGGAAGUAAAGCCAGGUAUCACCAAUCAAUGUCAAAUGAGUGAGGUGGUCCACUUUUUUAUGCCAAAUCGCCUCGCCUACCGGCUGAUGGACCCGGCUCGCCGCCAUCGUGAGCCUGUUGGAAGUAUCACGGGACUCUGUGACGGAGCCUUGACCUUUUCCAUUUGAAGGUGCCCUCCACGUUGAAUUUGGCAAUGGCUGAGGAU